UACGGAGGAUCCAAGCGUUAUCCGGAUUUAUUGGGUUUAAAGGGUGCGUAGGCGGAAUUGUAAGUCAGUGGUGAAAGCCCUUCGCUUAACGAAGGAACUGCCAUUGAUACUGCAAAUCUUGAGUACAUUUGAUGAGGGCGGAAUGUGUCAUGUAGCGGUGAAAUUCGUAGAUAUUCGGAAGAACACCAGUGGCGAAGGCGGCUCACUGGACUGGUAUUGACGCUGAGGUGCGAAAGCGUGGGGAGCAAACAGG
rnacentral:rRNA from 1 species